UACGGAGGGGGCAAGCGUUGUUCGGAAUUACUGGGCGUAAAGGGCGCGCAGGCGGCUGCUCAAGUCAGGCGUGAAAGGCCUGGGCUCAACCCGGGAAUUGCGCUUGAGACUGGGCUGGCUUGAGUGCGGGAGAGGAUGGUGGAAUUCCCAGUGUAGAGGUGAAAAUUCGUAGAUAUUGGGAAGAACACCGGUGGCGAAGGCGGCCAUCUGGACCGCAACUGACGCUGAGGCGCGAAAGCGUGGGGAGCGAACAGG
rnacentral:rRNA from 1 species